AGGAUCCUGGCUCUAGAAGAGAAUUUCAUGCUACAGUUCAAAAUGGAUGCCUCCAGUCAAGAAGACAGAAAGAGAGACUUUGACAAAAUAUUCAACCACUAUGAUGUUAGUAACACCGGAGCUUUGGAAGGACCAGAGGUGGAUGGCUUUGUAAAAGACAUGAUGGAACUGGUCAGGGUAAGUUGUGGGGAAGAAUAUCAGACAAUAUCUUUAUGAAUGUGCCACAAACAUGCUCCUAUAAUCAACCAAAUGUCUUUAACAUGGGACAAUACAUGCUCCUAUUAUAAUCGACUAUAUGUCUUUGUCAAGGUCACGUGGGACAAUAUUGUGUUCGGAAUGGUAGAAUAAAGUGUCUAUUGUUUUAUCCUGUUGUGUUGUAUAUCUUUAUGAGUCAGUCUUAACAUGAUC